AGCGAACGCUGGCGGCAGGCCUAACACAUGCAAGUCGAACGGUAAGGCCCCAGCUUGCUGGGGUACACGAGUGGCGAACGGGUGAGUAACACGUGGGUGACCUGCCCCGUACUUCGGGAUAAGCCUGGGAAACUGGGUCUAAUACCGGAUAGGACCGCACCGUGAGGGUGUGGUGGAAAGUUUUUCGGUGUGGGAUGGGCCCGCGGCCUAUCAGCUUGUUGGUGGGGUAAUGGCCUACCAAGGCGGCGACGGGUAGCCGGCCUGAGAGGGUGGACGGCCACAUUGGGACUGAGACACGGCCCAGACUCCUACGGGAGGCAGCAGUGGGGAAUAUUGCACAAUGGGCGGAAGCCUGAUGCAGCGACGCCGCGUGGGGGAUGACGGCCUUCGGGUUGUAAACUCCUUUCACCAUCGACGAAGGUUUUCUGACGGUAGAUGGAGAAGAAGCACCGGCUAACUACGUG
rnacentral:rRNA from 1 species